CCUACGGGUGGCAGCAGUGGGGAAUAUUGCACAAUGGGGGAAACCCUGAUGCAGCGACGCCGCGUGAGUGAAGAAGUAUCUCGGUACGUAAAGCUCUAUCAGCAGGGAAGAAAAUGACGGUACCUGACUAAGAUGCCCCGGCUAAAUACGUGCCAGCAGCCGCGGUAAUACGUAGGGGGCCAGCGUUAUCCGGAUUUACUGGGUGUAAAGGGAGCGUAGACGGCAGCACAAGUCUGGAGUGAAAUCCCCGGGGUUAACCCCGGACCUGCUUUGGAAACUGUGGGGCUGGAGUGAGGGAGGGGUAAGCGGAAUUCCUAGUGUAGCGGUGAAAUGCGUAGAUAUUAGGAGGAACACCGGUGGCGAAGGCAGCUUACUGGACUGUAACUGACGUUCAGGCUCGAAAGCGUGGGGAGCGAACAGGAUUAGAUACCCGAGUAGUC
rnacentral:rRNA from 1 species